rnacentral:rRNA from 1 species
UGGGGAAUAUUGCACAAUGGGGGAAACCCUGAUGCAGCGACGCCGCGUGAAGGAAGAAGUAUUUCGGUAUGUAAACUUCUAUCAGCAGGGAAGAAAAUGACGGUACCUGACUAAGAAGUCCCGGCUAACUACGUGCCAGCAGCCGCGGUAAUACGUAGGGGGCAAGCGUUAUCCGGAUUUACUGGGUGUAAAGGGAGCGUAGGCGGCAUGGCAAGCCAGAUGUGAAAGGCCGGGGCUCAACCCCGGGACUGCAUUUGGAACUGUCAGGCUUGAGUGUUGGAGAGGUAAGCGGAAUUCCUAGUGUAGCGGUGAAAUGCGUAGAUAUUAGGAGGAACACCAGUGGCGAAGGCGGCUUACUGGACAAUAACUGACGCUGAGGCUCGAAAGCGUGGGGAGCAAACA